UGUAGUUCCAAUCGUACCUUUCUGUUAUUGCAUCACGUUCACGCAUCAUAUGUUUGAAGUUAAUCACGAUUGAGCCUGCUACUCCCUGAUACUUUCGAUCGCACUUCUGAUCGCUGCUUCCCCGGUGUCACACACACUCAGGGCACGAUCAGAAGCAACAACGAUUGAUUGGAAGCUGUGAUUGUAGGCAGCUAUCGGAAGUAUCAGGCAGGAAGGCUCGAUUGUGACGGGGAGAAAACGUGAUAUGUUAGGCUUUAGCAAGCAGGGGCAAUAUUGUACAUUCAAAUUGUAUUUUAAUUAUAAUGAUUUAAUAUUAUGAAAAACAAUUAUAAAUCAAUAAAAAUUACCAAAAAAAUAGAUUUGGGUA